CUCAGGUUUUAGAAGCUCAGCUAAGCACAAUAGAGAGUUUAAUUCGGCUAUAGAUAUAUCAUAUGGGUAUGACUAAGCCUCACGUGCUUAUGCUGCUGAUCAUCAUGGUUGUCUCAAUUGCAGAGAAACCAUCAGUUAUAGAAGGAAGGGCACUUUCCUUAAUAUCUGGUCAAGGUAAUUUUACUCCCUCUCUUAUUUGUUCAGUGCUUGUUGAUUUUGUUGCGGUGUCCAAUUUUUAAUACAAAGAUAAUUAUACCAUUAACUAAUUAGAAUUUCUCUUAGAUAUAAUUUUUAAAAUAAUUAUCAUAAAAAUUAAUAUACUCUUAUUAUGUAUACCAAUAUGUAAUUAGUUCUCAUUCCCUGAAGUAAGGUAUCUGUUUAAAAAUAAAUUCCACUAAAAAUGAUCAGUUAGAUUUUUUAAUAUCUCCAACAGAUUUUUUCAUAUAAAAAGUUAUUACUAUAUAUAACAAUCUAUGAUUUUAUUAGUUCAUUCUAGUUAAAUUCUUUUUUGGCUGUUUAUUGAUUUAUAUAUGUGAUGUAAUUGCAGGGUACUCAAAGAUUUUUGCAACGCUUGGAGUUGUAUGCAAGUGUUGUGAUGGGGUUGGAGGCGCCUGCACUAGUAAAUGGACAGAAUCUUGCAAUAACCUACAAUGUUUUCCUUGGAAAUCACA
rnacentral:lncRNA from 1 species